rnacentral:rRNA from 1 species
AGUGAACGCUGGCGGUAGGCCUAACACAUGCAAGUCGAACGGCAGCACAGUAAGAGCUUGCUCUUACGGGUGGCGAGUGGCGGACGGGUGAGGAAUACAUCGGAAUCUACUUUUUCGUGGGGGAUAACGUAGGGAAACUUACGCUAAUACCGCAUACGACCUACGGGUGAAAGCAGGGGAUCUUCGGACCUUGCGCGAUUGAAUGAGCCGAUGUCGGAUUAGCUAGUUGGCGGGGUAAAGGCCCACCAAGGCGACGAUCCGUAGCUGGUCUGAGAGGAUGACAGCCACACUGGAAAUGGGGCACCGGCCAGACUCCUACGGGAGGCAGCAGUGGGGAAUAUUGGACAAUGGGCGCAAGCCUGAUCCAGCCAUACCGCGUGGGUGAAGAAGGCCUUCGGGUUGUAAAGCCCUUUUGUUGGGAAAGAAAAGCAGCAGGUUAAUACCCCGCUGUUCUGACGGUACCCAAAGAAUAAGCACCGGCUAACUUCGUG